UUUUCCCUCCCUUGUGAUUGGCCUAAUGUGUUUCACCUGUGUCCCUGCCUUGUAGCCACCUGUCCCUUGUUAGUCCUCGUUAUCCUGUGUAUUUAGUGUUUCCUUGGUGUCUUGUCACAUUAUUACUUUAUGUGCUGUCUGUGGUGCUGUGUGUCUUGUUUUUGUGGUUUUUGUGCUUUCUGUGCUUUCUGGGACUACUUUUGUUUUGCUUUCUGCCAACCUCUGGACACUUUUUGGAAGUUUGGUUCAUUAAAUUCUUUUAUCCCUAUUUUUCUGAACAUAGGUCUGCUGUCAGCCUGCUUGGCUGUCUGAAUAAUGUUAGCAGGUUGGCUGAUGUAUUUCAGCGAGGUAUAAAGUCUGGCAUCAUGGCAAACAUUGAUAAUCUGGUUCCGGUACGAGUUGCCGUGCGACGCUGCGAGCCACAGGUGAGAGUUGGCCCAGAGAAGACCUUCACCUAUGAUUAUGUGUUCGAUCCCACUGCUAAACAAGAGGGGUUUAAUACGACUGUGUCCCCCUUAUUGUUUGGGCUUUUCACAGGCUACCAUGCCACAGUUGCUGCAUACGGCCAGAGGGGAUCAGGGAAGACCUUCUCCAUGGGAGGACCAUGCACAUCAGCUCAAGAAAAUGACCCUUCAGUCGGCCUUAUUCCACGAGUUCUCAGAAGGAUCUUUGAGGAAAGGGAGAGGAGGACUGUGACUUUGGUCUGGCAGUGUCUUAUCUGGAGAUCUAUAAUGAGGACAUAUUGGACUUGCUAUGUCCAUCUAAAGAUAAAGCUGGCCUCAACAUUAGGGAGGACCCUGAAGAGGGCAUAAAGAUGAGUGACUGACAUGUUCACAAAGAGCAAAGCACACAUUGUCACAUUUCUUUAAAGCUAGAUGGAAAGAUAAAUCCUCAUUCUUUACCUUGAUGACCCCUUUUAAAUCAGUACAUGUUUAAAUAUAAUCUAGUGUGUCAGCUUUUGUUUGUAUUGAAAAUAUGCUGUUUUUUAAUUUUUCAGUGGGUUUAACUGAGAAGCAGGUGUCCUCUGCCCGUGAGAUGGUGUGUUAUCUGUUAAAGGGUCAAGUACAGUAAAUUAUCAAAUGUUUAAUUUUGACAUGCUGAUUUUGUUGUGAUUUCUUUAUUUAGGCUGCUGUUUGUCAUAAAGAUACCAUAUUGAAAACACUAUCUUAGUUGAAUAUUAAUCUUAUGUUGUAGAGUGGCUUCAAAAUUCCACCUUGUGGAUCUGGUGGGUUCAGAAAGGCAAAAUAAAGCCAAGGGGGAGCGUUUUAGGGAAGGCAUCAAUCUUGGCCUUCUGGCUUUGGAUAAUGUUAUCAGUGCCUUGGGGGGGGAGAGCCAAAGAGGUAGCUUUGUUCCAUACAGAGAGUCCAAGCUGACUCUGCUGCUCCAGGAUUCUCUGGGAGGACACGGUUACUUUGAUGAUCACAUGAGUCAGUCCAGGAGACUCUAACAUGGAGGAGACACUGAACACCCUACGAUAUACAGAUAGGGCACGACAAAUAAAAAAUAAACCCAUUGUUAACGUUGAUGCCAAAGAUUCGAAAAUAAAAUGCCUCCAACAGCAGGUUGAGGAGCUGCAGGGGAAGCUCCUCCAUGCCUGUGGAGGAGGAGCUCUGCUGCUCUCUGGGCCAGAGUCAGAGGAGACGGUGACUGAGCUGCUGGAAAGGAAUCUCUCCCUGCAGGACAUCAAUAAACUAAGCGGGGAGCUGAGCCAGUGUAAAUGUCAAACCGGCAGCUGCCUCAAGCGGUGCAGCUGCCACAAUGGGAAAAAUGAAAUGUGGGGACAGCUGCAGAUGACCGUAAGACAUGUCAAAACAUGGAGCAGGUAAGUUA